rnacentral:rRNA from 1 species
CCUACGGGAGGCAGCAGUGAGGAAUAUUGGUCAAUGGGCGCGAGCCUGAACCAGCCAAGUAGCGUGAAGGAUGACUGCCCUACGGGUUGUAAACUUCUUUUAUAAAGGAAUAAAGUGAGGCACGUGUGCCUUUUUGUAUGUACUUUAUGAAUCAGGCUCGGCUAACUCCGUGCCAGCAGCCGCGGUAAUACGGAGGAUCCGGGCGUUAUCCGGAUUUAGUGGGUUUAACGGGAGCGUAGGUGGAUUGUUAAGUCAGUUGUGAAAGUUUGCGGCUCAACCGUAAAAUUGCAGUUGAAACUGGGAGUCUUGAGUACAGUAGAGGUGGGCGGAAUUCGUGGUGUAGCGGUGAAAUGCUUAGAUAUCACGAAGAACUCCGAUUGCGAAGGCAGUUCACUGGACUGCAACUGACACUGAGGCUCGAAAGUGUGGGGAUCAAACAGGAUUAGAUACCCUUGUAGUC